rnacentral:rRNA from 1 species
AGGGUGACAGCCCCGUACACAAAAAUGCACAUGCUGUGAGCUCGAUGAGUAGGGCGGGACACGUGGUAUCCUGUCUGAAUAUGGGGGGACCAUCCUCCAAGGCUAAAUACUCCUGACUGACCGAUAGUGAACCAGUACCGUGAGGGAAAGGCGAAAAGAACCCCGGCGAGGGGAGUGAAAAAGAACCUGAAACCGUGUACGUACAAGCAGUGGGAGCCCUGAUUUAUCAGGGUGACUGCGUACCUUUUGUAUAAUGGGUCAGCGACUUAUAUUCUGUAGCAAGGUUAACCGAAUAGGGGAGCCGGAGGGAAACCGAGUCUUAACUGGGCGUUAAGUUGCAGGGUAUAGACCCGAAACCCGGUGAUCUAGCCAUGGGCAGGUUGAAGGUUGGGUAACACUAACUGGAGGACCGAACCGACUAAUGUUGAAAAAUUAGCGGAUGACUUGUGGCUGGGGGUGAAAGGCCAAUCAAACCGGGAGAUAGCUGGUUCUCCCCGAAAGCUAUUUAGGUAGCGCCUCGUGAAUUCAUCUCCGGGGGUAGAGCACUGUUUCGGCAAGGGGGUCAUCCCGACUUACCAACCCGAUGCAAACUGCGAAUACCGGAGAAUGUUAUCACGGGAGACACACGGCGGGUGCUAACGUCCGUCGUGAAGAGGGAAACAACCCAGACCGCCAGCUAAGGUCCCAAAGUCAUGGUUAAGUGGGAAACGAUGUGGGAAGGCCCAGACAGCCAGGAUGUUGGCUUAGAAGCAGCCAUCAUUUAAAGAAAGCGUAAUAGCUCACUGGUCGAGUCGGCCUGCGCGGAAGAUGUAACGGGGCUAAACCAUGCACCGAAGCUGCGGCAGCGACACUAUGUGUUGUUGGGUAGGGGAGCGUUCUGUAAGCCUGUGAAGGUGUGCUGUGAGGCAUGCUGGAGGUAUCAGAAGUGCGAAUGCUGACAUAAGUAACGAUAAAGCGGGUGAAAAGCCCGCUCGCCGGAAGACCAAGGGUUCCUGUCCAACGUUAAUCGGGGCAGGGUGAGUCGACCCCUAAGGCGAGGCCGAAAGGCGUAGUCGAUGGGAAACAGGUUAAUAUUCCUGUACUUGGUGUUACUGCGAAGGGGGGACGGAGAAGGCUAUGUUGGCCGGGCGACGGUUGUCCCGGUUUAAGCGUGUAGGCUGGUUUUCCAGGCAAAUCCGGAAAAUCAAGGCUGAGGCGUGAUGACGAGGCACUACGGUGCUGAAGCAACAAAUGCCCUGCUUCCAGGAAAAGCCUCUAAGCAUCAGGUAACAUCAAAUCGUACCCCAAACCGACACAGGUGGUCAGGUAGAGAAUACCAAGGCGCUUGAGAGAACUCGGGUGAAGGAACUAGGCAAAAUGGUGCCGUAACUUCGGGAGAAGGCACGCUGAUAUGUAGGUGAAGCGACUUGCUCGUGGAGCUGAAAUCAGUCGAAGAUACCAGCUGGCUGCAACUGUUUAUUAAAAACACAGCACUGUGCAAACACGAAAGUGGACGUAUACGGUGUGACGCCUGCCCGGUGCCGGAAGGUUAAUUGAUGGGGUCAGCGCAAGCGAAGCUCUUGAUCGAAGCCCCGGUAAACGGCGGCCGUAACUAUAACGGUCCUAAGGUAGCGAAAUUCCUUGUCGGGUAAGUUCCGACCUGCACGAAUGGCGUAAUGAUGGCCAGGCUGUCUCCACCCGAGACUCAGUGAAAUUGAACUCGCUGUGAAGAUGCAGUGUACCCGCGGCAAGACGGAAAGACCCCGUGAACCUUUACUAUAGCUUGACACUGAACACUGGUCCUUGAUGUGUAGGAUAGGUGGGAGGCUUUGAAGUGUGGACGCCAGUCUGCAUGGAGCCGUCCUUGAAAUACCACCCUUUAAUGGCUGGUGUUCUAACGUUGGCCCCUUACCGGGGUUGCGGACAGUGUCUGGUGGGUAGUUUGACUGGGGCGGUCUCCUCCUAAAGAGUAACGGAGGAGCACGAAGGUUGGCUAAUCCUGGUCGGACAUCAGGAGGUUAGUGCAAUGGCAUAAGCCAGCUUGACUGCGAGCGUGACGGCGCGAGCAGGUGCGAAAGCAGGUCAUAGUGAUCCGGUGGUUCUGAAUGGAAGGGCCAUCGCUCAACGGAUAAAAGGUACUCCGGGGAUAACAGGCUGAUACCGCCCAAGAGUUCAUAUCGACGGCGGUGUUUGGCACCUCGAUGUCGGCUCAUCACAUCCUGGGGCUGAAGUAGGUCCCAAGGGUAUGGCUGUUCGCCAUUUAAAGUGGUACGCGAGCUGGGUUUAGAACGUCGUGAGACAGUUCGGUCCCUAUCUGCCGUGGGCGCUGGAGAACUGAGGGGGGCUGCUCCUAGUACGAGAGGACCGGAGUGGACGCAUCACUGGUGUUCGGGUUGUCAUGCCAAUGGCACUGCCCGGUAGCUAAAUGCGGAAGAGAUAAGUGCUGAAAGCAUCUAAGCACGAAACUUGCCCCGAGAUGAGUUCUCCCUGAGACCUGGAGUCUCCUGAAGGAACGUUGAAGACGACGACGUUGAUAGGCCGGGUGUGUAAGCGCAGCGAUGCGUUGAGCUAACCGGUACUAAUGAACCGUGAGGCUUAACCUUACAACGCCGAAGGUGUUU